GGCCUAGUCUAUGGUGCCACAAGUACUUCUGAUUAAUUUUAUCUCUGGAUCUCUUUUGACCUACGGCAGUCACUAUUUGUUCGUUUAGGUUCACAUUCACUUCAACAUACAAGUGAUAAAGACUGUCAAUUAAAAAAUCUCAUGCAGUCAAUUUUUUUUGUAAAUAAAUAGAACAAAAAUUUUUAUUAAAACUAAUUUCAAAACCUUCCUG
rnacentral:lncRNA from 1 species